GUGCCAGCAGCUGCGGUAAUACGUAGGGGCAAGCGUUGUCCGGAAUUAUUGGGCGUAAAGCGCGCGUAGGCGGUUUCUUAAGUCUGAUGUGAAAUCUUGCGGCUCAACCGCAAGCGGUCAUUGGAAACUGGGGAACUUGAGUGCAGAAGAGGAGAGUGGAAUUCCACGUGUAGCGGUGAAAUGCGUAGAGAUGUGGAGGAACACCGAGUGGCGAAGGCGACUCUCUGGUCU
rnacentral:rRNA from 1 species